UCAUUUGUUCCUACACUUGCUUAUUCCAGUACCCCUUACUUUCAACUUUUUUCCCUUAUCCUAGAAACAUGCUUCUUGAUCUUAUAAUUUGCCAAUAUAUAGAUACAAGAAGAUGUGGUAUGAAUGCCAAUGAGACAACUCUCCAUCCAAGUCACAAUUUGUAAAAGGUAAACCAAUAUAGGUCAAAGUACGGUCUUCAACACGGAGCCUUGGCUCACAACGAACAGCAAGCUAUAAAGGGCCUCAAAAAUUACUUGUGUAAAACCAUAAAAAUGGGAAAACCAACAGUCUAUAAAUCUAUAUAAAAAUCGAGAAACGAGAAACACUUAUGAACCACAUCAACAAACGACAACUACUGAACAUCAGAUUCCUGACUUAGGACAGGUGCAAACAAAUCAUGUGCAGCGGGUUUAAACGUUUUAAGCGGGGGGGGUCUAGGAUGGAAGUUUGAAAAAAGGCAGGACAGGAGUUUUCAGUGAAAAAGGCAGGAUGACAAUUUAUGUAAAAAAAAGACACAAGAUAAACGAAUAACAAAAAGGCAGGACCGAAAUAGAGUGAAAAAUAGAAAGGCAGGACAGAGAUUGCAACUAAAAAAAAUGCAGGACAAAAUUUUUCAUUUUUCAUUCUAGCCCCCCCUCCCCCCUAAAAAUAAAUCAAACGGUAGCUCCCUAAGUAUCCUGAUGCUUUUGACAAGUAUCAUGAUUAAAAACAUAGGGAUUGUUUAAAAUCAUAACGAUGGAAGAACUAUAAUGAUGGCCGUAUCGUUAUGUUUAUACAUGAAACCCACUCAUACUGUUUUGCUAAGAAUGCAUGGGUCCUCAUUUCAGAAUCUGGGACCGUGGGGGCUUAUUUAAAGUUAUGUGUCUUGGUGUGUAUGUAUUCAGAAUUAUAUAAAGUUAACAAGAAUGCAUCUACAAAAUAAACACGGAAGGGGGUUUGCAAUUUUUGCCAAAAAAUGUACAUAUUUUAAUAUAACAUAUUCACUGAAUUUCAGUACCUAUAGUUAUGUUAAUAUUAAAGAAAGAAUGACCUGUACCAGAGACAUAAAUAUUUUUAUUUAAUCCGCACAAACGUAGUGACUUUUGAACAGGUAAAUUUCGCGCAAACGUAAUGUGUUUAAUCGCGCAAACGUGGAUUUUUUUUCUCGCGCAAACGUAAUGCGCCGGUGUAUAUAUGUCUCUGCCUGUAUAUUUAUAUACAAUACUUAAAAUAUGUUUAUAUGUUAAUAUAACUGCACUUAAUCUGUAUCAUCACUCAUAAUUCAUAAAUAUACAGCUACCCUCAAAUUUCUGGAGUUCAUUUUGAGGGGGGCUUAAAAACAUGAAAUCCCGAGGUCCCGAAUUUAAAGAAAUUUAAAUCCCGACAUCCCGAAAUUCGAAAAAAAGAAUUCUCGGAUCCCGAAAGGAUCAAUCCCGAAAUCCCGAGCUUAAAAACACCCGAUCCCGGAGUCCCGAUAAAGGUCCGAUCCCCUUCAUUUUGGAACUUAUUUGAAAUGUGAACUUACAAAAGAAUACAGUAAGAUUCCAAAUAUCACAUUUAUGUAUGUGAUAUGUAGGUCAUUUUUAUAUAAAAUCUCGCAAAAUUAUGACCGAUAUUUUUAGCACAUCUGCGUUUACCCAAUAAUAGGGGGAAAAACACGUCAAGAUGCACGGUGCAAUUUACCUAUAAACGUUAUUAUCAAAUGUUUAUUUUUUAUCGAGAUUGCCAAUUUCCGAGUCCAGUCUGUAUUGUCUUGAAAAUGCAGUAUUUGCAAUACUAAAAACAUUAAGACUUGAUUAAUAAGUUAACGGAAUAUAGAAAUAAUGAAAAUGCUUUGAACAGCGGGAAUCCCAGUUACGUAAUAGGAAAAUUUAGUCCGGAUUCGGUUUUCAUUUUUAAACGCCGGAAAGAUCUAGAUGUUAUGACGCAGACGACACCAAGGACGCUGUGCCCGAUUGUUCAUUAGAAAUGUUGUAACUGCUAUACAAACAUACACGGACAUUUGAAUGCAAACAUUUGAAAUGGCAUAAAAUAAGCAGUCCAAGCUGAGGCGGAGUGUUUAAUGAGAAGAAGGUGGCUUUUCAACUUCAAAAAUGGGGACGACUUGUCUUGUGAACAGAACAGCCAACCAAACGCAACAAGAGGCAGAUAAUUUAUUUUGUGCCAAUCACUCUUCCAACAACUGAAAUUGGUUUGUCAAAUAUGUUUGUUGGUGUAUGAUCAGAUCUGCAUUAUAGUAUUAGUAUUAAACAAACUGUAAAGAAAAGAAAAUGAUGUUUUAGACAUUGAACAACAGGAUUAUAUCAUCAUGACCAUUGGAAUCUUACAAGGAGAAGUGCAAAUAAAUGAAGGAAUUCAUGUGCAAAAAUUAUAAUAUUGUAAACAGGAGAACAGUCUUAAAUAAUACUAACAGUUAAACAGUUUUGUGAACAAGAGUCCAAGAGCAAGGCAGAGUCAACUUGGACUCAGUCUUGGAGUGUAUAUAUGUCAACCACAAGUACAUUAAGAACACAUAAUGCUAAUGAAAUAAGAACUAUGGUACACAUUUUGUAUGAUUGUAAAUAUCUCAUCCAAAAAAAUGUAGUUGUUAAAUAAAUAGAAUUGAAAUAACUAAA